rnacentral:rRNA from 4 species
UCGUAACAAGGUUUCCGUUGGUGAACCAGCGGAGGGAUCAUUA